GCUGAGAUGGCGGAAUUUGGCAGACGCGCCAGGCUUAGAACCUGGUGGGUUUUACCCGUGGGGGUUCGAAUCCCCCUCUCAGCA
rnacentral:tRNA from 1 species